rnacentral:tmRNA from 1 species
GGGGACGACCUGGUUUCGACAGGGGUUGCAAAGCAGCGCAGGGCAUACCGAGGACUGGUUACCUCGUAAAUACAGCCGGAAAUGCUUAAAUGCAAACGAUGAUUCUUACGCUCUCGCAGCGUAAACCUCUAGAAACCUAAGAACCUUCUAGCUCUACACCAUCUCUUCCCUGGGGUGGGCUGGCAACAGCAGUAGAGUCAUACACAGGGAAUCGCGUUCUGCCGGGUUACUUGGCAAGACGUUAAACAAUAGGUGACUCGCCUGUCCGCAGCGUGCGCGUCCGCGUCGUACAGGUUAAAUCAAAUGGCAGCGCUAAGUAUGUAGAACUGUCUGUAGAGUGCUUCUGGACGCGGGUUCGAUUCCCGCCGUCUCCACCA